ACGACCUUACUUGAACAUGAUCUGUUCUAUAAGCUCGCACCUCUUCCUUGAUUUCUUUCAUUUAAAAAAAAUGAAAAUAAUAUGCGGUCGCAGA
rnacentral:snoRNA from 1 species